UUUACAGUUUCUACUUCAAUGUAUCAGGUGGAGUUAUUCACCAGCUAUAGAGUGAGUUGUUGUUUAUGUUUCUAAGACUGCAGGGUGGGAGAUGCAACAAUGGCCUUGAGAACAGCAGGAAGUGUGUUGGUGGUCUUUCUCCGGUCUGUGAAAGUGGUACUGGGUCAGAAUGGCUGGAGUGUGGCUUACACCAAGAAGAGUAUCUGUGCCUUUAAGGGGUCAAAAGUGGAGCUGUCCUGCUCUUACACAUAUCCCAGUGGUCAUACAGUCACAGCAACAUUCUGGUUCACUAAAAAUGAUGGUGAGGGUAAUCCUUUGAGUCUGAGUGAUGACCCAGACUACUAAGGUCGUAUGACUUACCAGGGAGAUAAGAACAAUGAUCACACCCUGACAAUCAGAGACCUGAGAGAGAGUGACUCAGCUACGUACAAGUUCAGAUUUAUAACAGAUCAGACUGGAGGGAAAUAUACUGGUGAUCCUGGAGUCACUCUGUCUGUAACAGGUCUGCAGGUGAAGGUGACUCCUGCUGCAGAGGGACAGAAGACACUGACCUGUAUCACCACCUGUACUCUGACUGACAACCCCACCUACAUCUGGUAUAAGAACGGACAACGUCUAGA